UACAGAGGGGGCAAGCGUUGUUCGGAAUUACUGGGCGUAAAGGGCGCGUAGGCGGCCUGUUAAGUCGAACGUGAAAUCCCCGGGCUCAACCCGGGAACUGCGUCCGAUACUGGCAGGCUUGAAUCCGGGAGAGGGAUGUGGAAUUCCAGGUGUAGCAGUGAAAUGCGUAGAUAUCUGGAGGAACACCGGUGGCGAAGGCGGCAUCCUGGACCGGUAUUGACGCUGAUGAGCGAAAGCCAGGGGAGCAAACGGG
rnacentral:rRNA from 1 species